rnacentral:lncRNA from 1 species
UGCCUUCUGUAUAACUUCCUAAGAACUCUCUUCCAUCUAUUAAUAUCUCUUUUUCUGUAUCUAAUAAGCUAUCAGUCCAUUAAAUGUUUAUUUUAAAUGUAUUUUAAAUUUCUGGAUGUUCUAUUUUUUUAAUCUGUCAUUUUCACACACUCUUACUAUUUUCUUUAGGUUUUAAUCCUCCUUUCCUUCUCAUUCUGUACAUCUCCAGAUGGAAACCUUAUCUAUCAUAUCUAUGUAAAUGACUCUAGAGUCUGCAUCUUUAACCCAGUCUUCUUUCCCAUGCUGUCAGGUUUAUCUGACUACCUCAUGUAUAGUGGAGUAAUAAUAUGUCCCUUCUAUGAUGUCCCAUAGCACUUCUCUCUUCUACUCAAUUAAUACUUGGCAAUACACAGCCUCACAGUGUAGGUUUUCUUUGCAUGUGAAUAAAACCAGAUUAUUUGCCCCAGAGCACGAGGAUCAUAUUUUGUACUUCUUAGCAAGAUUUCUGAAUAUCUAUAACUCCACUGACCACUUAAAUGCCUUCAAAGCUAAGCUUUCUUAGAUUUGACCUUCAGUAUGUUAUGUGUGCCUGUUCUUUGACAGAAGGGACUAUCUUUUAUUGUUGGUAUCCACCGAAUAUAUCAUAGGGGUUGCUCAUAAUAGGCAUCUGCUAGUUGAUCUGAUUGGUGAGCAACAGGUUAAGUGGGUCCUUUUGAAAUUUUUCUCGAAAGCUUAAGAAUUUAAACUUCUACUGCUCUGAUGACUGGGUCUCCAAUACCUCCAUACCUCUCUUACUUCCAUACUUCAAAGCAUCAGUUAAUAACUGAUAUGUACCUUUCAGGAUAGAAAGCUUAUUGCUAGUGUAAGUUGCAUUAAUUUAACUUGUUAUUUUAAUCUUCCUUGUUUAUCUUCAUUCCAAGUCACAAAGUAGUAUCACUAACUGAAGUACAAAAUAAAAUUAAAAUCAGGCCUUAUUUUAUAGUGGAAUAAGUAUUUAGUCCUCCUAGUGAAAACAUGGGCAUAAAGGGCAAGAUAUUUCUACAAAUGCUUUGAGAGUAAUGCUGCCAAUAACACGUUUAUUCAGGAUUAAAUGAUGUGAUGAGCUAAAUUAUUCCAAGAUCCUAAGCAUAAUAGGAAAGAAAUUAUGUCAUUUUGAGGUGAGGGAAUGUUUUGGCUUGUUGGCUAAUAAUAAUGGCUGAUAUCUAAGUCAUGUGAAUUGCAUCAAAAUUUUUCAUUUGAAACAUAAUGCAGAUUUAAUUAUUAUAUUAAUUCUUAAACAUGAAAUACCAGACAAAAUUAAUUAGAUUCCUUGUUCUCACAUAAUAAAUUUUUCAGAAGAAACUGGAAUUCUGUUUAUUUUCCCCUUCCUCACUCUUUUAUACAAUGAAUGCAUUUCUGUUGUAAAAUCCUAGAGUAGUUAUUAAGUAUAUAUGAUUUUUUAAAAAUAUUUAUUUAUUCACUCAUGAGAGAGAGAGAGAGAGAGAAAGAGAGAGAAAGAGAAGCAGAGACACAGGCAGAGGGAGAAGCAGGCUCCAUGCAGUGAGCCUGACGUGGGACUCGACCCCAGGUCUCCAGGAUCAUAUCCUGGGCUGAAGGUGGCGCUAAACCGCUGAGCCACCCAGGCUGCCCAAGUAUAUAUGAUUAAAUGUGAAAUUUCCCCCUUUAUCCUCUGAGGCCCUUCCCACUCUUUGUCUCUUUCUCUAUGUGUAUCAUUGUGUACCUAUGUAGGUGUAUGAAUAAAUAAAUGGAAUCACACUGUAGGUAUGUUAUAUGACUUGCUUUUUCCCCUUAAGAAUAUAGCUUAGGGAUUUUUUCCAUAAAUGGGUGAUGAGUAUUAAGGAGGGCAUUUAUUACAAUGAGCACUGGGUAGUAUAUGUAAAUGAUGAAUCACUAAUUUCUACUCCUGAAAUCAAUAUUACAUUUUAUGUUAACUAACUAGAAUUUAAACAAAAAUUUAGGGAAAAAAGCAAUAUUGCAAGACAAUAUUUGUUUGCUUAUCUUUGCAUAAACAUGACUUUGAAUAGAUUUCUAUAAAUAGAAUUUCUGAGUCAAAGAGCUUAUAUGUUGUAAAUUUUGACAAAUAUGUAAAUUACCAUUUCAAAUAUCUUGAUCAUAUACUUCCUCCAACAGUGUAUGAGAGCACUUGCUUUCCUACAUCCUCCAAUAACACUGGACAUUAAUGCUGACUCUCUGUUUAACUCCUGACUGAAAAAUAUAAAUAAUAAAAGCUAUGUAAGGUUGUAGGAUGACAAAGGAAAAAUUUAAAAAUAUGAGCUCCCAUUACCUCACCUUUAAUAUAAUAAUUUAACAGAUAAUGUCUAAGGUUGAAACAGAUAGUUUUUUAAGAAGGGAAAAAAAAAAAAAAAAACUCAUACAAAAUUACUCUAAUGACUCCAAGAGGGAUCUUGUAGUAUCUAAUCUCUCUCAUAUAGAAGAAAUACAUGAGGUUUAGCUAUUCACUUUUUUUUUUUUAAGAUUUUAUUUGAGAGAGAGAGAGAGAGUGUGUGCACAAGUGGGUUGGGGAAGGGCAGAAAAAGAGGGAGAAGCAGGCUUUCUGCUCAGCAAGGCUCCAUCGCAGGACCCAGGAAUCAUGACCUGAACUGAAGGCAAAUGCUUACCGCUGAGCCACCCAGGUGCCCCUGCUGUUUGAAUAUUUCUAA